rnacentral:rRNA from 1 species
UACGUAGGUGGCAAGCGUUGUCCGGACUUAUUGGGCGUAAAGCGCGCGCAGGCGGUUCCUUAAGUCUGAUGUGAAAGCCCACGGCUCAACCGUGGAGGGUCAUUGGAAACUGGGGAGCUUGAGUGCAGAAGAGGAAAGUGGAAUUCCAAGUGUAGCGGUGAAAUGCGUAGAGAUUUGGAGGAACACCAGUGGCGAAGGCGACUUUCUGGUCUGUAACUGACACUGAGGCGCGAAAGCGUGGGGAGCAAAUAGG